AGGAGUGGAGUUCCCAAAAACCUUGAGAGGCAGAGGGUCGUCAGCAGACAAGCGCGACGAGAGAUGAGGAAGUUCGACCCAUGGCCGGUGUUCCUCAAGAGCGGGUGGAGCCGCAACUGGCCCUUCCUCGUCGGAUUCGCCAUGAUCGGCAUUCUCAUCGUCAAGCUUACUGCCGGCCUCACCUAGGUGGAUGACAAAAUUUCCCGAUUCGUGCAGGAGCACAACAGGGGCGGUCAAUCUGAUUAAGCGUCUAACGAGGUGUUUGGUAGGAUCACUCAUGUAGAUUGACGUUAACACGGACACCUCUCUAGUGGGAUGGGAGUAAUAACAGUUGUUUCAAGCUCGCCACUUUAUCGUGUUUUUGAGUUCACUUUAACUUUUACAUAUUCCAUUGCUCCAGAUUUGUAGUCCUUUUAGUUCUCUUCAGAAAUAGUUGUAAAAUUUUGGAUUGGCUUAUAGAUAUUUGCAUCACGAUCAUUCUUGUGUUUGUCCUUCAC